rnacentral:rRNA from 1 species
AGAGUUUGAUCCUGGCUCAGGACGAACGCUGGCGGCACGCUUAACACAUGCAAGUCGAACGAGGUCCAUGGAGCUUGCUCCAGAAGACCUAGUGGCGAACGGGUGCGUAACACGUGAGAAACCUGCCCUGAACUUGGGAAUAACAGUUGGAAACGACUGCUAAUACCGAAUACCUUCACGACGUCGCAUGGCGAUGUGAAGAAAGCUUUAUGCGGUUUAGGAGGGUCUCGCGACCUAUCAGCUUGUUGGUGAGGUAACGGCUCACCAAGGCAUCGACGGGUAGCUGGUCUGAGAGGAUGAUCAGCCACACUGGGACUGAGACACGGCCCAGACUCCUACGGGAGGCAGCAGUGGGGAAUAUUGCACAAUGGGCGCAAGCCUGAUGCAGCGAUGCCGCGUGCGGGAUGAAGGCCCUAGGGUUGUAAACCGCUUUCAGCAGGGAAGAAAAUGACGGUACCUGCAGAAGAAGGUGCGGCCAACUACGUGCCAGCAGCCGCGGUGACACGUAGGCACCAAGCGUUGUCCGGAUUUAUUGGGCGUAAAGAGCUCGUAGGCGGUUCAGUUAGUCGGGUGUGAAAACUCUGGGCUCAACCCAGAGACGCCACCCGAUACUGCUGUGACUAGAGUACGGUAGGGGAGUGGGGAAUUCCUGGUGUAGCGGUGAAAUGCGCAGAUAUCAGGAGGAACACCAGUGGCGAAGGCGCCACUCUGGGCCGUAACUGACGCUGAGGAGCGAAAGCAUGGGUAGCAAACAGGAUUAGAUACCCUGGUAGUCCAUGCCGUAAACGUUGGGCACUAGGUGUGGGUCUCAACCAACGAGAUCCGCGCCGUCGCUAACGCAUUAAGUGCCCCGCCUGGGGAGUACGGUCGCAAGACUAAAACUCAAAGGAAUUGACGG